GCGGCCCAAAUCGGCGGGGCUUUCAUGUGCCGGCGCCGCCGGCGUCGAAGUGCGGCGCAUACGCUCAACCUCGAGCUUCGAUAAGUCUUAUUUUGAUCUUCGGAGAGCUGCUGCCGUCCUAUUCGUGCCCCCGCGUUGGCGAAUCUAGCUAGGCUUCUCUUCAUUGAGAGAUAAAGAUUACACUCCAAUGCAGUGGAACACAGUGCCAGAAGAUUUUUCGAAUAGAGCCUAAAGCACAUGUGGAGAAGAUUUAUACUUGACUCCCAAUGAAGAUGUUUGAGAUACAUGGAAGGCAUGACUAAGAAGAAGACAACGAAAACACUGCUCCUUGAAGGUGAAAACUUGAAUGGCAUUGCCAGUAUUCCUUGCUCAUUGAAAAUGAUGUUCGAUUUAAAGAUUCUCGUUUGAGGUUGAAUGAUACAGUUGAGAAAUCAACAGCACUUGGUCUCCAGGGUUUUAGAUGUCAAAAAUUGCUGCGCCUUCAUCUAGGCUGUUUUCUUGCAAUCUGAUAAAGCAAACAUCUUUAAUAAUAACAAUUGUACUUUUAAUAUAUUAGUUAUGUCUUGCUAGCAUAUGGCUUACACAGUGGUUACCCUCUUUAGCUUUUUGCUGAGGGGAAAAUGACUUAA